GACGAACGCUGGCGGCGUGCCUAAUACAUGCAAGUUGAGCGAUGAAGAUUGGUGCUUGCACCAAUUUGAAGAGCAGCGAACGGGUGAGUAACGCGUGGGGAAUCUGCCUUUGAGCGGGGGACAACAUUUGGAAACGAAUGCUAAUACCGCAUAACAACUUUAAACAUAAGUUUUAAGUUUGAAAGAUGCAAUUGCAUCACUCAAAGAUGAUCCCGCGUUGUAUUAGCUAGUUGGUGAGGUAAAGGCUCACCAAGGCGAUGAUACAUAGCCGACCUGAGAGGGUGAUCGGCCACAUUGGGACUGAGACACGGCCCAAACUCCUACGGGAGGCAGCAGUAGGGAAUCUUCGGCAAUGGACGAAAGUCGGACCGAGCAACGCCGCGUGAGUGAAGAAGGUUUUCGGAUCGUAAAACUCUGUUGGUAGAGAAGAACGUUGGUGAGAGUGGAAAGCUCAUCAAGUGACGGUAACUACCCAGAAAGGGACGGCUAACUACGUG
rnacentral:rRNA from 1 species